GCCAGACUCCUACGGGAGGCAGCAGUGGGGAAUAUUGGGCAAUGGGCGCAAGCCUGACCCAGCAACGCCGCGUGAAGGAAGAAGGCUUUCGGGUUGUAAACUUCUUUUAAGAGGGAAGAGUAGAAGACGGUACCUCCUGAAUAAGCCACGGCUAACUACGUGCCAGCAGCCGCGGUAAUACGUAGGUGGCAAGCGUUGUCCGGAUUUACUGGGUGUAAAGGGCGUGUAGCCGGGCCGGCAAGUCAGAUGUGAAAUCCCGAGGCUCAGCCUUGGAACUGCAUUUGAAACUGUUGGUCUUGAGUAUCGGAGAGGCAGGCGGAAUUCCUAGUGUAGCGGUGAAAUGCGUAGAUAUUAGGAGGAACACCAGUGGCGAAGGCGGCCUGCUGGACGACAACUGACGGUGAGGCGCGAAAGCGUGGGGAGCAAACAGGAUUAGAUACCCGCGUA
rnacentral:rRNA from 1 species